CCUACGGGAGGCAGCAGUGAGGAAUAUUGGUCAAUGGACGAGAGUCUGAACCAGCCAAGUAGCGUGAAGGAUGACUGCCCUAUGGGUUGUAAACUUUUUUUAUAUGGGAAUAAAAUGUUCCACGUGUGGGAUUUUGUAUGUACCAUAUGAAUAAGGAUCGGCUAACUCCGUGCCAGCAGCCGCGGUAAUACGGAGGAUCCGAGCGUUAUCCGGAUUUAUUGGGUUUAAAGGGAGCGUAGGUGGAUUGUUAAGUCAGUUGUGAAAGUUUGCGGCUCAACCGUAAAAUUGCAGUUGAAACUGGCAGUCUUGAGUACAGUAGAGGUGGGCGGAAUUCGUGGUGUAGCGGUGAAAUGCUUAGAUAUCACGAAGAACUCCGAUUGCGAAGGCAGUUCACUGGACUGCAACUGACACUGAGGCUCGAAAGUGUGGGUAUCAAACAGGAUUAGAUACCCGUGUAGUC
rnacentral:rRNA from 1 species